AAUGGGUCAGCGACUUAUAUUCUGUAGCAAGGUUAACCGAAUAGGGGAGCCGAAGGGAAACCGAGUCUUAACUGGGCGUUAAGUUGCAGGGUAUAGACCCGAAACCCGGUGAUCUAGCCAUGGGCAGGUUGAAGGUUGGGUAACACUAACUGGAGGACCGAACCGACUAAUGUUGAAAAAUUAGCGGAUGACUUGUGGCUGGGGGUGAAAGGCCAAUCAAACCGGGAGAUAGCUGGUUCUCCCCGAAAGCUAUUUAGGUAGCGCCUCGUGAAUUCAUCUCCGGGGGUAGAGCACUGUUUCGGCAAGGGGGUCAUCCCGACUUACCAACCCGAUGCAAACUGCGAAUACCGGAGAAUGUUAUCACGGGAGACACACGGCGGGUGCUAACGUCCGUCGUGAAGAGGGAAACAACCCAGACCGCCAGCUAAGGUCCCAAAGUCAUGGUUAAGUGGGAAACGAUGUGGGAAGGCCCAGACAGCCAGGAUGUUGGCUUAGAAGCAGCCAUCAUUUAAAGAAAGCGUAAUAGCUCACUGGUCGAGUCGGCCUGCGCGGAAGAUGUAACGGGGCUAAACCAUGCACCGAAGCUGCGGCAGCGACGCUUAUGCGUUGUUGGGUAGGGGAGCGUUCUGUAAGCCUGCGAAGGUGUGCUGUGAGGCAUGCUGGAGGUAUCAGAAGUGCGAAUGCUGACAUAAGUAACGAUAAAGCGGGUGAAAAGCCCGCUCGCCGGAAGACCAAGGGUUCCUGUCCAACGUUAAUCGGGGCAGGGUGAGUCGACCCCUAAGGCGAGGCCGAAAGGCGUAGUCGAUGGGAAACAGGUUAAUAUUCCUGUACUUGGUGUUACUGCGAAGGGGGGACGGAGAAGGCUAUGUUGGCCGGGCGACGGUUGUCCCGGUUUAAGCGUGUAGGCUGGUUUUCCAGGCAAAUCCGGAAAAUCAAGGCUGAGGCGUGAUGACGAGGCACUACGGUGCUGAAGCAACAAAUGCCCUGCUUCCAGGAAAAGCCUCUAAGCAUCAGGUAACAUCAAAUCGUACCCCAAACCGACACAGGUGGUCAGGUAGAGAAUACCAAGGCGCUUGAGAGAACUCGGGUGAAGGAACUAGGCAAAAUGGUGCCGUAACUUCGGGAGAAGGCACGC
rnacentral:rRNA from 1 species